GAGCUCUCCAGCACUUCCCAGUCAGUUUACCCUUUGCAGGGAUGAUCAAGGGGCAGGGCCAGUUCGCCUGCUUUCCUGCCCGCAGGGUCCACUCUCCCACACCUGGAUCAUCAGGGCCAGCUCUACUGUGUGGCCUAGGUCUUUAAAUUUUGUUUUGUUUUUGUCAACUUGACACAAGCUGGAGUCAUCUAAGAGACCCUCAGUUGAGAAAAUGGUCCCAUCAGACUGCCCUGUAGGAAGGGCCCAGCUCACUGUGAGCGGUACCAGACUUGGACAAGUGGUCCUGGGGUGUGUAAGAAAGCAAACUGAGCAAGCCUGGCGUGCAAGCCAUUAAGCAGCCCUCCUUCAUGGUCUCUGCUUCAGUUCCUGCCUCUAGAUUCCUGCCUUGAGUUCCUUACCUGACUUCCUUCAUGAUGGACUAUGAGCUGUUUGAUCAAUGGUUUUUGAUUGUUUGUUUUUGUUUUGUUUUAUCACAGAAGUAGAAAGCUAAAUCACUAUCUAGGACUUCCUACCUCCAGAAUUGUGAAAAAUGAAUGUUUAAUCUUUUAAUGUAACAUCAAUGGAGACAUUAGAGGUUAAAUGUUGUAAAUCUAUGUUAUCACAUUUUAGUACACAUAUGCAACAUAAAUAAAUGUUUAAAAAGUAGUAACUGGGCUGGAGAGAUGGUUUAAUGGUUAAAAGCACUUAUUGCUCUUGCAGAGGACCCAGAUAUGAUUCCGAGCUCCCACAUGGUAGUUCAGAAACAUCUGUGACUCCAGUUCCAGGGAAUAUGAUGCCCUCUUCUGACUUCCACAGGGAUCAAGAUGUAAGUCCUCAGCUGCUCCUGCUGCCAUGCUGUAUUAGUCAGAACAAAAGAAUUGAAAGAAGGAACAUAUCUGUGUGUGCGUGUGUAUGAAAAAAAUGUGGCUGUUCGAGGCCAGCCUGGUCUACAAAGUGAAUUCUACAAGCUUCAAAGCAAUACAGAGAAAACCUGUCUCGGAAAAAAAAAA
rnacentral:lncRNA from 1 species